rnacentral:lncRNA from 1 species
UCCUUCGUCUGAUCUUUCUUCUUUCAUUCUAUCUCUUUCUCUGUAACAAUCGACUCAUGUAUUCACCUCCUCACCAUCACCACCGGUCGACCUCUCUUUGUCUUCCUCUUCUCUGGCUUCACCUUCGCUAUUUCUAAUUGAUAUGUUUUGUUUUGUUUAUAGAUCUGAGAAGGAGCAGUGAUGAACCUUCAAGGAGAAUGUGGGUGACGGAGACGACAGUGUGACGGUAAAAUUCUUCAUUGAUCAAUGCAAAUCUAACCCUUCACUUCUCUCGACUCAUUCCGCGAGUUUCUCAAGGCGUACCAAAUCCUCUCUCUCCUCGUUUACUUCGAUCUAAUCGUCUUUUUAUAUGCUUUAAUUUGUAUCUGUGGUAGUUGUGAUUCAUAAAGUAUUCAUCUUUGUUCUUGACCCUCUUUAUGUUCUUAGAUGCCAUAAAGCUGAGUUCUUGCUUAAUGUUUCAUUUGUUCUUGACUCCCUUUGCGUUUAUAGGCACAAGGUGAAUCUGACGAUGAAGGGAAGGAGAGGUGGUGGUGUGGGAAGAUGAUGAAACGGAAAAGAGAAGUGGUGGUGUGACAGUGCGGCGCCUCCGGUGAAGCGUAGUGCGGCGGUAGUGUAUUUGUAUGUAUAUACGUAUUUAUGUAUAUAUAUAUAUAACAAUAAUGUGUAUUUUUUGUUUUAGUAUUAAUUAAUAAAAAUUAUUUGUUUGUUUUUAUUUCUGUUUAUUUUUUAUUUUUUUUUAAUUUUUAGUAUAGCCACGCCAAUAGCUGUUAUUAUCGUG